rnacentral:tRNA from 1 species
UUCGGGAUGGUGAAAUGGUAUCACAGGCGCCUCUGGAGCGCUUAUUCUAGGUUCGAAUCCUAGUCCCGAAACCA